rnacentral:tmRNA from 1 species
GGGGAUGUAAAGGUUUCGACGGGGAUUUUGAAAUAUCGGAAGCGAGCAGCGGUGCGGAACCGCUAUAAAAUCCGCAUAAAAAAUUAACUAACAACAAUAAAGUUGCUUUAGCUGCCUAAUUAUAGGCGGCUCAUCCGACCAAAGAGUACCACGGCUUUGUUAGGGUGUCAUUUUAGUGGUGAACGUGAACUGCUGCCUGCUCCUGCGGCUGUCACGGAUUGGGAGCUACCGAGUACAGCAGCCUGACGUUUGGCGGCUGUAUAAGGGAAUUUAAAUAAACGUCUGCGCUCGGAGACGCCGGUAUGGAUAGAUUUUCGGACGUGGGUUCGAUUCCCACCAUCUCCACCA